UCUUAAGUCAGAGGUGAAAGGCUACGGCUCAACCGUAGUAAGCCUUUGAAACUGGGGAACUUGAGUGCAGGAGAGGAGAGUGGAAUUCCUAGUGUAGCGGUGAAAUGCGUAGAUAUUAGGAGGAACACCAGUGGCGAAGGCGACUUUCUGGACAGUAACUGACGUUGAGGCACGAAAGUGUGGGGAGCAAACAGG
rnacentral:rRNA from 1 species